rnacentral:rRNA from 1 species
GGAAGGAUCAUUAACGCGCAAGAGGUCGAAGUUGGCCCCCGAAGCUCUUCCGUCUCCCCCCCGGGCCUCC